rnacentral:rRNA from 1 species
GCUCAGAACUCAAAGGAAUUGACGGGGCCCGCACAAGCGGAGGAGCAUGUGGUUUAAUUCGAUGAUACGCGAGGAACCUUACCUGGGCUCGAACGUAAGAUGACUGUAGGUGAAAGCUUACAUCUCUUCGGAGCAUUUUACGAGGUGCUGCAUGGUUGUCGUCAGCUCGUGCCGUGAGGUGUCGGGUUAAGUCCCAUAACGAGCGCAACCCCUACCUUUAGUUGCCAUCAGGUUAAGCUGGGGACUCUAAAGGAACUGCCUACGCAAGUAGUGAGGAAGGCGGGGAUGACGUCAAAUCAGCACGGCCCUUACGUCCAGGGCUACACACGUGCUACAAUGGCCGAUACAGAGGGCAGCUACCUGGUGACAGGAUGCAAAUCUCCAAAGUCGGUCUCAGUUCGGAUCGGAGUCUGCAACCCGACUCCGUGAAGUUGGAUUCGCUAGUAAUCGCGCAUCAGCCAUGGCGCGGUGAAUACGUUCCCGGGCCUU